rnacentral:rRNA from 1 species
UCCUACCGCAGCAGCAUGUUGUGUAUUAUUUGCACGACACGACACAUGCCUGAUCCUAGCGAUGCAGGAGAGAGAGUGGUUGUUCUUAGGUAAACCAAACGCAUCUCAAGUCCGAGCUGUGUAGUAGCAUUACUCGCUCCUGUAAUUUUGAUUCACGCGACAAGAACCCCGCCACUUUUUUAAUUCUGAGCUCGCAGCCGAAAUAAUAGAGAGGGUGUAUGUUGUGAUAGGAAUUAAAGCAACAACACGCGCCCCCAGGUUUUUUCCCCCCCCCCGAUAAAAUAUCCCGGGGGCUCCACCGGGGGAACUGCUCUUCAAAAGUGAAUAAUUAGAGUUUGGUAGACGGCUGAAAAAAUCUCCUUGUGUCCCGAAGAAAUGUGUAGAUAUAGGAAGGAACACCAGUGGCGAGGGGCCACCACCUGGAUUGAUACCCACAUUGUGGUGCGAAAGGGUGGGGAGCAAACAGGAUUAGAUACUCUUGGUAGUCCACGCCGUAAACGAUGUCAACUAGCUGUGGGGAGCCUUGAGCUAUUCGCGGCCCCGUUAACGCAUUAAGUUCACCCCCUGGGGAGUACGGCCCCAAGGUUAAAACUCAAAUGAAUUGACGGGGGCCCGCACAAGCGGUGGAGCAUGUGGUUUAAUUGGAAGCAACGCGAAGAACCUUACCACGCCUUGACAUCCAAUGAACUUUCUAGAGAUAGAUUGGUGCCUUCGGGAACAUUGAGACAGGUGCUGCAUGGCUGUCGUCAGCUCCUGUCGUGAGAUGUUGGGUUAAGUCCCGUAACGAGCGCAACCCUUGUCCUUAGUUACCAGCACGUUAUGGUGGGCACUCUAAGGAGACUGCCGGUGACAAACCGGAGGAAGGUGGGGAUGACGUCAAGUCAUCAUGGCCCUUACGGCCUGGGCUACACACGUGCUACAAUGGUCGGUACAGAGGGUUGCCAAGCCGCGAGGUGGAGCUAAUCCCAGAAAACCGAUCGUAGUCCGGAUCGCAGUCUGCAACUCGACUGCGUGAAGUCGGAAUCGCUAGUAAUCGCGAAUCAGAAUGUCGCGGUGAAUACGUUCCCGGGCCUUGUACACACCGCCCGUCACACCAUGGGAGUGGGUUGCACCAGAAGUAGCUAAGUCUAACUCUCGGGAGGAUAGGUUAUAGAACGGUUGAUCCCUCCAUCC